ensembl:lncRNA
AGCUUCAUAAAGUCAAGUUUAAGUCAGUUGCAUUUUUUUCACUUUAUUGAAAAUGAGACAUUUGAUUAAGCAGCUUUGGUGUGUGCAGCAAAUGCUCUCCAUCCUUAGAAUUACAUAGAAGAUUGUGGUUUCUUUCUAUAUAAUUUAACAGCUUUGAUGAACAGACACUUGCUCUGUUGGUCACUGAUCACCCAGUUAAAACUAAGUCCAGUUGAUCAGUGGCCCAUGUGAUGAAUGGAAUCUUUCAACCCCAGACUGCCCAUAACAGUUUUCCUGCUGCCCCCUCUCUCUCUCUCUCUCUCUCUCUCUCUCUCUUUUUUUUUUUUUUUUUUUUUUCUUCUCCUGAUUCCCACCAUAAUGUCAUCAUUGGCUUUCUGUCCUUUCUCCUUUCCUCAUCUGUGCGGCAGCUUAAUACCAGUACACUCUGCCAGCCCCACAGCAGCAGACACUGCAGUCACUGGUACAGCUCUUUGUGGACCUUCACUAGUUGUGCACAUCACCAGUCACUGAUCCCUGAGCUGCUGCAGAAUGACCUACAUUGACCCGAUGUUACCCAAUGCUGAAAAACGAUUUCCAGUAGUGAAUUCUCUAAGAAUCCAAACCCAUCCCUUCUUAUUUGAUGAUUGAAACAUCAGCUUGCAGCCUUGUGCACAGUGAGGAGUCGGACAAGAUUUUGCAUCAGAAGAAAUAUCCAAAGUGGUGGAGAGCAUCAUGACCAACCUCGGAAGAUCUGUGUCAUUGGCUUAACUUCAACAUUUUCCUUCACUCUUACUACAGCAACAAUCAUCCAGGCAAAUACUGUAAUAAAAUGGCACAAACUUGUAUCAUAUUUCUAGCAUUUUGAUUUUUGGGUCAUAGCAUCCAGCUGUCAAAUAGCUGAAUUAAAGCAGCAGAGGGUUCAUUAAUCACUUUUGCUGAAAGUGUUUUGCAGAGGUGACAGCAACUGGACUCCUAAGAACGAUUACAGUUUCAGUGAAUGCCUUGCAUCAUCAGAGGCUUUAGCUCAUUUUAAAUAUCUGCUUGUUCUGUUGUUAUGUCAUCCAGCAGGGUUAGAAGUUUGUUUGCCUGGCACUAUGAUGUGUAUGUAUUAUUGUAGGGUCUACCUUACAAUAUAAAGUGGCUUGAGGUGACUGUUGUUGUGACUUGGCGCUAGAUAAAUAACAUUGAAUUGAAGCAAUCUGUAUUCGGAUUAUUUAUGUACCCAGGAAACGGUGAAAGUAACUGUGUAGUUGUAACAUCGAAGAUUCUCCGCAACAUAUGUGCAGGAAGCAAACCUGAGAUGGUUGGUGUUAAACUUAACAAUAUCCUGCUGUUCACCUGGUUAGCUGUAAUUAUACUGA